GAUGAACGCUGGCGGCGUGCCUAAUACAUGCAAGUCGAGCGAACAGACGAGGAGCUUGCUCCUCUGACGUUAGCGGCGGACGGGUGAGUAACACGUGGAUAACCUACCUAUAAGACUGGGAUCACUUCGGGAAACCGGCGCUAAUACCGGAUAAUAUAUUGAACCGCAUGGUUCAAUAGUGAAAGACGGUUUUGCUGUCACUUAUAGCUGGAUCCGCGCCGCAUUAGCUAGUUGGUAAGGUAACGGCUUACCAAGGCAACGAUGCGUAGCCGACCUGAGAGGGUGAUCGGCCACACUGGAACUGAGACACGGUCCAGACUCCUAAGGGAGGCAGCAGUAGGGAAUCUUCCGCAAUGGGCGAAAGCCUGACGGAGCAACGCCGCGUGAGUGAUGAAGGUCUUCGGAUCGUAAAACUCUGUUAUUAGGGAAGAACAAAUGUGUAAGUAACUAUGCACGGCUUGACGGUACCGAAUCAGAAAGCCACGGCUAACUACGUG
rnacentral:rRNA from 1 species